GUACAAAGCUUAAGUCCAAGUGGAUCAAGGACCUCCACAUCAAACCAGACACACUCAAACUAAUAGAAGAAAAACUAGGGAAGCAUCUGGAACACAUGGUCACUGGAAAAAAUUUCCUGAACAAAACACCAAUGGCUUAUGCUCUAAGAUCAAGAAUCGACAAAUGGGAUCUCAUAAAACUGCAAAGUUUCUGUAAGGCAAAGGACACUGUGGUUAGGACAAAACGGCAACCAACAGAUUGGGAAAAGAUCUUUACCAAUCCUACAACUGAUAGAGGGCUUAUAUCCAAAAUAUACAAAGAACUAAAAAGUUAGACUGCAGGGAGACAAAUAACCCUAUUAAAAAAUGGGGUUCAGAGCUAAACAAAGAAUUCACAGCUGAGGAAUGCCGAAUGGCUGAGAAACACCUAAAGAAAUGUUCAACAUCUUUAAUCAUAAGGUGAAUGCAAAUCAAAACAACCCUGAGAUUUCACCUCACACCAGUGAGAAUGGCUAAGAUCAAAAACUCAGGUGACAGCAAAUAGUGGCGAGGAUGUGGAGAAAGAGGAACACUCCUCCAUUGUUGGUGG
rnacentral:lncRNA from 1 species